CAAGUCGAACGGUAACAGGUCUUCGGAUGCUGACGAGUGGCGAACGGGUGAGUAAUAUAUCGGAACGUGCCCAGUCGUGGGGGAUAACGUAGCGAAAGUUACGCUAAUACCGCAUACGAUCUAAGGAUGAAAGCGGGGGAUCGCAAGACCUCGCGCGAUUGGAGCGGCCGAUAUCAGAUUAGGUAGUUGGUGGGGUAAAGGCUCACCAAGCCAACGAUCUGUAGCUGGUCUGAGAGGACGACCAGCCACACUGGAACUGAGACACGGUCCAGACUCCUACGGGAGGCAGCAGUGGGGAAUUUUGGACAAUGGACGCAAGUCUGAUCCAGCCAUUCCGCGUGCAGGAUGAAGGCCCUCGGGUUGUAAACUGCUUUUGUACGGAACGAAAAGGUCUCUCCUAAUACGAGGGGCUCAUGACGGUACCGUAAGAAUAAGCACCGGCUAACUACGUGCCAGCAGCCGCGGUAAUACGUAGGGUGCAAGCGUUAAUCGGAAUUACUGGGCGUAAAGCGUGCGCAGGCGGUUAUAUAAGACAGAUGUGAAAUCCCCGGGCUCAACCUGGGAACUGCAUUUGUGACUGUAUAGCUAGAGUACGGUAGAGGGGGAUGGAAUUCCGCGUGUAGCAGUGAAAUGCGUAGAUAUGCGGAGGAACACCGAUGGCGAAGGCAAUCCCCUGGACCUGUACUGACGCUCAUGCACGAAAGCGUGGGGAGCAAACAGGAUUAGAUACCCUGGUAGUCCACGCCCUAAACGAUGUCAACUGGUUGUUGGGUCUUCACUGACUCAGUAACGAAGCUAACGCGUGAAGUUGACCGCCUGGGGAGUACGGGCCGCAAGGUUGAAACUCAAAGGAAUUGACGG
rnacentral:rRNA from 1 species